rnacentral:rRNA from 1 species
AGAGUUUGAUCAUGGCUCAGGACGAACGCUGGCGGCGUGCUUAACACAUGCAAGUCGAACGGAAAGGCCCUUCGGGGUACUCGAGUGGCGAACGGGUGAGUAACACGUGGGUGAUCUGCCCUGCACUUUGGGAUAAGCCUGGGAAACUGGGUCUAAUACCGAAUAGGACCACGCGCUUCAUGGUGUGUGGUGGAAAGCUUUUGCGGUGUGGGAUGGGCCCGCGGCCUAUCAGCUUGUUGGUGGGGUAAUGGCCUACCAAGGCGACGACGGGUAGCCGGCCUGAGAGGGUGACCGGCCACACUGGGACUGAGAUACGGCCCAGACUCCUACGGGAGGCAGCAGUGGGGAAUAUUGCACGAUGGGCGCAAGCCUGAUGCAGCGACGCCGCGUGAGGGAUGACGGCCUUCGGGUUGUAAACCUCUUUCACCAGGGACGAAGCGCAAGUGACGGUACCUGGAGAAGAAGCACCGGCCAACUACGUGCCUGCAGCCGCGGUAAUACGUAGGGUGCGAGCGUUGUCCGGAAUUACUGGGCGUAAAGAGCUCGUAGGUGGUUUGUCGCGUUGUUCGUGAAAACUCACAGCUUAACUGUGGGCGUGCGGGCGAUACGGGCAGACUAGAGUACUGCAGGGGAGACUGGAAUUCCUGGUGUAGCGGUGGAAUGCGCAGAUAUCAGGAGGAACACCGGUGGCGAAGGCGGGUCUCUGGGCAGUAACUGACGCUGAGGAGCGAAAGCGUGGGGAGCGAACAGGAUUAGAUACCCUGGUAGUCC